rnacentral:hammerhead_ribozyme from 1 species
UUGCGAAACGUGACAUGACAUUUUGUCAUGUCGCGUCUGCCGGAUGUGGCGACCCGGUACUGAUGAGCAGCCACAG